UUUGUUCGCCAGGCCAGCCUCAAUGUUCCAUCAGCGUGGCAGUUGCAUUGGUGUUUUUGCAAAGGCUUGCGGGGCAAAGAAUCCUGGUGCUAUUUCAUCCACAAAGUUGAGAAAACAUGCAGCAACAUUGUCUACAGUCCUUAAUAUGAAUGAAAAUGAAAUGGACCAGCUUGCUAACUUUCUUGGCCAUGACCUUUAUGUCCACCGCCAAUACUAUCGUCUCCCGGAAGGGACACUACAGCUUGCUAAAAUUAGCAAAGUGCUGAUGUCAUUGGAGCAAGGAAGACUCGUGGACUUCAAGGGGAAGAAUCUAGAUGAGAUCGAAAUAGAUCCAAAUGAGGUAGUCCAGGAUAUUGAAGAUGAAAUGGAGGAGGACAUGGAGUCACAGCUGAUUGAUUGCAAUGAACUCAACACCAACAAGGAGAGACCCAUAAGGUCACAAUCAACAGAUAAUAAUAAUUUGUGUGGAAAGGAGACCUUGGACACAGACAAGCGAGGAAACGAAAAGUCACAGCAAACAGGACCCGGAAGCAGAGCUCAGAAGAAGAAGUGGGAGAAAAAUGAGGUGGAGGCAGUCCAAAAGCAUUUGGGUGGAUUCAUCAAAUCCCUACGUGUCCCAGGAAAACAAGACUGUGAAAAAUGCAUACAGGCGGAACAAGACGUUCUCAAAACCCGUGACUGGCGAGCCGUAAAGUAUUUCGUCAAUAACAAAAUUGCUGCGCUGAAACGAAAGCUUUAACUGUUUUAAUUUUUCUGACCUUCAGGUUGCAGCACAGUGCAGUUAAUAAUGCCGUUUUGUUUUUACCUGUAUUAUACCUUUUACAGGUUUUUUUCUUUUUUUUUGUUUUGUUGUUACUGC
ensembl:lncRNA